ACACGUAGGGAGCGAGCGUUGUCCGGAAUUACUGGGCGUAAAGGGCGCGUAGGCGGGAAAUUAAGUCAGGUGUGAAAACUCCGAGCUCAACUUGGAGAUUGCACUUGAAACUGGUAUUCUUGAGGUCAGGAGAGGAAAGUGGAAUUCCUAGUGUAGCGGUGAAAUGCGUAGAUAUUAGGAGGAACACCAGUGGCGAAGGCGACUUUCUGGACUGCACCUGACGCUGAGGCGCGAAAGCGUGGGUAGCGAACGGGAUUAGAUACCCCGGUAGUCCACGCUGUAAACGAUGGGUACUAGGUGUAGGAGGUAUCGACCCCUUCUGUGCCGGAGUUAACGCAAUAAGUACCCCGCCUGGGGAGUACGGCCGCAAGGUUAAA
rnacentral:rRNA from 1 species